AUGCAGUCGAACGCACUUUCGUUGAUGAUUAGAGGUGCUUGCACCGWWKAUGAUUUUAGCUAUAAAGUGAGUGGCGAACGGGUGAGUAACACGUGGGUAACCUGCCCAGAAGUGGGGGAUAACACCUGGAAACAGAUGCUAAUACCGCAUAACAAAGUAAACCGCAUGGUUUACUUUUAAAAGAUGGCUUCGGCUAUCACUUCUGGAUGGACCCGCGGCGUAUUAGCUAGUUGGUGAGAUAAAGGCUCACCAAGGCAGUGAUACGUAGCCGACCUGAGAGGGUAAUCGGCCACAUUGGGACUGAGACACGGCCCAGACUCCUACGGGAGGCAGCAGUAGGGAAUCUUCCACAAUGGACGAAAGUCUGAUGGAGCAACKYYKCGUGAGUGAUGAAGGCUUUAGGGUCGUAAAACUCUGUUGUUGGAGAAGAACGUGUGUGAGAGUAACUGCUCAUGCAGUGACGGUAUCCAACCASAAAGCCACGGCUAACUACGUGCCAGCAGCCGCGGUAAA
rnacentral:rRNA from 1 species